rnacentral:sRNA from 4 species
AUGUACCACUCGUCCACUCCGGUUCUGAGCGCGCCGUCGGCACCCACCUGACGACUGCUCGCUACGGCUUGUCAGCC